rnacentral:rRNA from 1 species
UACGUAGGGGGCUAGCGUUGUCCGGAUUUAUUGGGCGUAAAGCGCACGUAGGCGGUCUGUUAUGUCGGAUGUGAAAGCCCUCGGCUCAACCGAGGAAUUGCGCUCCAAACUACCGUGCUCGAGGGAGAUAGAGGUUAGCGGAACUUCGGGUGGAGCGGUGAAAUGCGUUGAUAUCCGAAGGAACACCGGUGGCGAAAGCGGCUAACUGGGUCUUCUCUGACGCUGAUGCACGAAAGCCAGGGUAGCAAACGGG